UCUCUAUGCCAGCUGAUGACGCCUUUCAUGCUGUGCCAAGAUGGUGGUUCUCGUACCCAGAAAUACAAAGAGGUGAAGAAGAAGAAGAGAAGCAGGUGUGGCUGUUCCUGGACAGCAGCCACCUGCAGAUACACGUCAGGGCACAGAGGGAGAGAUGCCCUGCAGCCUUUCUUUGCUGACCGGGCUGUGCAUCCCUGCUGCAGCUGUUGGAGCACGUUGUGUCUGACCUCUGCUUGGGGCAGCUCAGCUAAAGUCGUUCCUGGGUCUGUUGGACUGAAUGAGGUGGAGAUGUUGCUAUCACAGCUGACUGCCCGGCUGCUGAAGGCUUCACGAGUUGCAGGCCACUUUCUGCCGAGGUCGGUGUCUUCCUUUCUCUGCUGUCAUUCCACAUCUGUGAACUAUUGCACGCAGCCACCCAAUAAGAAUGGAGCCCAGCCUCAGCAGUGGCACACGCUGGAGCCUGAACUGGAAGAGAUGUUGGUCCCCAGGAAGCUUUCCAUCAGCCCCUUAGAAAGCUGGCUGACAGUCAGAUACUCCCUUCCUAAAGCAGAGGUCAGUAAUGCUCAGGAAGAAGAAGUGGGCUCUGGGCUUCUGCAGAGAUAUGACUGUCCUCCAUGUGAUGUGGGAGCUGAUGUGGAGGAAGGGGAAGGGACACCAAGCAACACGGUGCAGUGUAAGAACGUGUUGAAGAUCCGCAGACGGAAAAUGAAUCGCCACAAGUACAAAAAGCUGUUGAAGAGGAGGAAGUUUGUGAGGAGGAGGAUAAAGGAAGGGCGCAAGAAGAAACGGCAGGCAAAAUUUGAGAAAGAUUUGGAGCGCAUCUGGAAAAGAGCUGGUUUGAAAGGUCCUCCUGCAGGAUGGCAAACACCCAAGAUAUUCCUGAAGAGUUCCAAGCGAUAAAAAUACUUGUAAUGAGUUUACACGUGUCAUUGUAAUUAAAAGAAAUAUUUAACUCUAGGACAGGUGACUGCAAGCAUCCUAUGGGCAGUGUUUCUGAGGCUUCCUGCUGUUGAUGUCGCUAGGUGGCAGUCAGUUCAAACCUUCUGAAACUCAUGGCAGUGAAUGUAGAAGCUGGCAGCUGGUUGGAUCUUCAUGUAGGUAUUGUAAGGAAGGGGGGCACUCGUGUCACACGUGGUUAAAUAUUGAUUAUUCUUAGUGGAGAACUUGCUGAGAACUAUUGGAAUCCUAUAGAAACAGGUAGGUAGCACAUUGAUCCAAGCCAUAUGCUAACAGUAGGCAGUUUAUAUCAGAGAACUAAAAAGACAUUCCUUCUUUGUGCUUUAAAUAUGCUGUAGUUGCUUUUUAUCGAGACCAGUAGGACUGGAUGAGCACAGCUGGAAUAAGAUGGCCUUUCUCAUUCAAUGCUGCUGCCUUCUCAUUUAUUUUAAUGCUGGGAUAGUAAUUAGAGAAUUACUGAAAUAGUAAUUGCAAGUGAACUUUUGUGCUAUGAUAGUGAUUAUAUUAGGGCACUUCUGUGGUUAAUUGCAAGUCUCCACUAAGUAAAGUAGCUGUCUGAGUAGUUGUCCUGUCUUCCAAAUGACAGCCUAUGAAGUGCAGCCAUUACUUUUACAUCUAUUAGACAUAAUUAAGCAAUGGAACUGUGUGUGAUUUACAAAGUUGUCCGACUUCCACCUGUGGAUGUUAUUACCAGUAUUAAUCACACAGAUGCUGCGUUCCUUUUUGCUGUAGUGUAUCAAAGCACGUCUCGGGUUGUGUGCCAUAUUUAUGUGGUAGGUGCUGCCAAGACCCCCAUCUUCAUGGCCUUAAUCAGGUAACGUGCAGCAGGGUUACAUCAAAUUGCUUGAACUCUUUUGACCAUAGGAUGCAAUUUCCUUCAGGCAGAGGGAAGCUGUAACGUUUUUCUAUAGGGGGAGCACUAGUGCAUAGUAUACAACUCACAGGGUUUUGUUAUGAGCUGUUCUGGCUCAAAGUCUGUAUGUGCCAAUGUACAUGCACAGUUACCAGAUGUGUUCAUACAUGUGUGUGUGGCUGCAGUAGAAAAAUAGGCUGAAACAAGAAAGGUUUGGCUUCGAGGCUCCUCCAUCUCCUUGUUAUUCUGCUGUUCUGAGAGGUUGAAAGUAAGCAGGAGAUUGCUCGAGGAAUUCCUGCUCUGUUGCUGAGGUUGGAGAUAUCCAGUGGGGAUGGAGAUUGCAUAUUUGGGACUGCAUGACAGCUCUUUGUCUGGAAAGAUGCUUCAGAAUUGGAAUGUGAAACCAAUUAUGCUCACACCCCCUCAAUCUUGGAUUGCGUAGACUCGAGUACAGACGGCAAACUCGGUUAGCAGAGGAGAAAACCCAGUUUGGUCGUUUUGUCACAGCAAUCAGUUUGUGCUGACAUGAGUUGGCUCUAAAACAGCUGAUUUCAGAAGGGCUGAAAGUUCUGAAAUCGGUUUUUCUCCAAGCCAAAGCAUCACAUUGAAAAUGUAAGCAGUGGAUUUUUACCCUUUUGGAAAGGUCAGGAUCCAGUAACAUGAUGAUUGCAGGCUUCCAAUGAACGUGUGACAGAAAUACCAUCUCCUUGUAGUACAAGAAAAUAAUGACUGCUGGCAAACUUGAUAUAUUAGUUGUCUCCAUGAUCUCAGCAGUGAUGUUUCUCACUAGGGUAAGAAUUAGAUGCAUUUUAAGACAUAUACUCAUUGCUCAGUUGUAGCUGUAUGAAUUCCUGAAGUUUUUUAGUUGUUUCUGGGUGUAGGAGUUUGAAUAUGACAUGACUCUGGGAAGCUCAGGUUCCUUUUGCAUCUGUAUUGCAGGUGUUGGUUUUCUUUCUUCCAUUAGUAGUCUCAGGAGUGGCCCUAUGAGCAGGAGGAGCUGUUAGCCCAAUGUUUUUGGGUAUGUGGCGUACAAAACACCUUUCAGAGAGUGACUAGACUUUGUUCCUGCUGUUACCUUACAGACUAAGAUUACUUGCUAAUUCCUGAGCAGAAACAAGGAACCUUUACUCUGGUGAGCUAACACUAGCAUUAAAGGGGCACUGUUACAACGUUA